GUCCCUUUCGUCUAGUGGUCUAGGACGUUGUUUUUUCAGGACAAAUACGCAGGUUCGAACCCUGUAAGGGAUG
rnacentral:tRNA from 1 species